UCGGGGUAUUCCACAAAAAAUUACCCUGCGGGAUGAAAUAUUCCUCGGGGUUCGCCCUCGGAAUAUUUCAUCCCUCAGGGUAAUUUUUUGUGGAAUACCCCU
rnacentral:miRNA from 1 species